rnacentral:rRNA from 1 species
GACGAACGCUGGCGGCGUGCUUAACACAUGCAAGUCGAACGGAAAGGCCCUGCUUUUGUGGGGUGCUCGAGUGGCGAACGGGUGAGUAACACGUGAGUAACCUGCCCUUGACUUUGGGAUAACUUCAGGAAACUGGGGCUAAUACCGGAUAGGAGCUCCUGCUGCAUGGUGGGGGUUGGAAAGUUUCGGCGGUUGGGGAUGGACUCGCGGCUUAUCAGCUUGUUGGUGGGGUAGUGGCUUACCAAGGCUUUGACGGGUAGCCGGCCUGAGAGGGUGACCGGCCACAUUGGGACUGAGAUACGGCCCAGACUCCUACGGGAGGCAGCAGUGGGAAAUAUUGCAUAAUGGGCGGAAGCCUGAUGCAGCAACGCCGCGUGCGGGAUGACGGCCUUCGGGUUGUAAACCGCUUUCGCCUGUGACGAAGCGUGAGUGACGGUAAUGGGUAAAGAAGCACCGGCUAACUACGUG